rnacentral:rRNA from 1 species
AGUGAACGCUGGCGGUAGGCCUAACACAUGCAAGUCGAACGGCAGCACAGUAAGAGCUUGCUCUUACGGGUGGCGAGUGGCGGACGGGUGAGGAAUACAUCGGAAUCUACUUUUUCGUGGGGGAUAACGUAGGGAAACUUACGCUAAUACCGCAUACGACCUACGGGUGAAAGCAGGGGAUCUUCGGACCUUGCGCGAUUGAAUGAGCCGAUGUCGGAUUAGCUAGUUGGCGGGGUAAAGGCCCACCAAGGCGACGAUCCGUAGCUGGUCUGAGAGGAUGAGCAGCCACACUGUAACUGAGACACGGUCCAGACUCCUACGGGAGGCAGCAGUGGGGAAUAUUGGACAAUGGGCGCAAGCCUGAUCCAGCCAUACCGCGUGGGUGAAGAAGGCCUUCGGGUUGUAAAGCCCUUUUGUUGGGAAAGAAAAGCAGCUGGUUAAUACCCCGCUGUUCUGACGGUACCCAAAGAAUAAGCACCGGCUAACUUCGUG